GCGGCGGACGGGUGAGUAACACGUGGGCAACCUGCCCGCAAGACCGGGAUAACUCCGGGAAACCGGAGCUAAUACCGGAUAACACCGAAGACCGCAUGGUCUUUGGUUGAAAGGCGGCCUUUGGCUGUCACUUGCGGAUGGGCCCGCGGCGCAUUAGCUAGUUGGUGAGGUAACGGCUCACCAAGGCGACGAUGCGUAGCCGGCCUGAGAGGGUGACCGGCCACACUGGGACUGAGACACGGCCCAGACUCCUACGGGAGGCAGCAGUAGGGAAUCUUCCGCAAUGGGCGAAAGCCUGACGGAGCGACGCCGCGUGAGCGAAGAAGGCCUUCGGGUCGUAAAUCUUUGUUGUGAAGGACUAAGGAGCGCCGUUCGAAGAGGGCGGCGCGGUGACCGUACCUCACGCAGGAAGCCCCGGCUAACUACCUGCCAUCAGCCUCGGUAAUAC
rnacentral:rRNA from 1 species